rnacentral:rRNA from 1 species
CGACUCGGGGAGGUAGUGACAAGAAAUAACGGUACGGGGUCUUUAUAGGUCUCGCAAUUGGAAUGAGUACAAUUUAAAUCCUUUAACGAGGAUCAAUUGGAGGGCAAGUCUGGUGCCAGCAGCCGCGGUAAUUCCAGCUCCAAUAGCGUAUAUUAAAGUUGUUGCAGUUAAAAAGCUCGUAGUUGGAUUUCGGGACGGGUCAGUUGGUCCACCGAAAGGUGUGUUACUGACUGGUCUGUUCUUCUUCGCGAAGACUACGCGUGCCCUUUAUUGUGUGUGCGUAGGAUUUACGACGUUUACUUUGAAAAAAUUAGAGUGUUCAAAGCAGGCUAUCGCUUGAAUACAUGAGCAUGGAAUAAUGGAAUAGGACUUUGGUCCUAUUUUGUUGGUUUCUAGGACCGAAGUAAUGAUUAAGUGGGACAAUUGGGGGCAUCCGUAUUUCGUUGUCAGAGGUGAAAUUCUUGGAUUUACGAAAGACGAACAACUGCGAAAGCACUUGCCAAGAGUGUUUUCAUUAAUCAAGAACGAAAGUUAGAGGAUCGAAGACGAUCAGAUACCGUCCUAGUUCUAACCAUAAACGAUGUCGACUAGGGAUCAGCGGGUUUCAUUUUACGACUCCGUUGGCACCUUACGGGAAACCAAAGUUUUUGGAUUCCGGGGGAAGUAUGGUUGCAAAGCUGAAACUUAAAGGAAUUGACGGAAGGGCACCACCAGGAGUGGAGCCUG